rnacentral:rRNA from 1 species
UACGGGGGGGGUAAGCGUUGUUCGGAUUCAUUGGGCGUAAAGAGCUCGUGAGGCGGCUAUUCAAGUCGAACGUGAAAUCUCGGAGCUCAACUCCGAAACUGCGUUCGAUACUGGGUAGCUAGAGUCUGGUAGGGGGGAUCUGGAAUUCCUGGUGUAGCGGUGGAAUGCGCAGAUAUCAGGAGGAACACCGGUGGCGAAGGCGGGAUCCUGGGCCAGUACUGACGCUGAGGAGCGAAAGCGUGGGGAGCAAACGGG